UGUUGUUUGGUUUGGUUUUUGUAAUUUUGAAUGAAUUUUAUAAUCUAUAUUUGAACAUAUUAGACUCCAUUUGGUUGUCACAAACCAAAUGGAGCCUAAGCCCCUUUUUAACUCCGCCAAUGCAACUCCUUGCAUUGCCGGUCCUAAGCCCGGGUAAAGGAGGAGGGAGAAUGGGCAUCAAGGUGAGUUUUGUACUUUUCCUUCAUUUUCUGAGAGGGAUUUUUAAAAUGCUUGAUGGUUAAUUUUUCUGACUUCUUCUACUAUCAUUUGAGGACCUCAAAGGCCCAACUAACUUGAGAUUUUUAUAUGCAGGCUAAUGUAUUUUUAGCCCCACAGAUCAAUGUUGCCACUACAAGGUUCAAUAUUGAAAUGAUAAGAUUUUUAACUAUUUAUUUUAUCUUUGUUUUUUCCUAAUCUUCAUAAAUAAUUUGAUGUCUUAGCCUCCUGUCAUUACUAGCUAGUCUUGUCACUAUUUGUACAUAUGUCAUCUCAUGAGUCUUACUAUUUGUAAUUUUCUUACCCCUGUAGUGAUUAUCAGAAGCAGUGGACCAUCAUUGAAAGAUUACCCUUGUAAUUGCAUUGUGGAAUAUGCAUCCAUUAUUCAAAGAAAGGGCGACAUUCCAAGCACUCACACUUUCUUUCCUUGCUAGCUAAAUUGGUGAGUCUUCUUUACUUCAUACUGUAUAAUUCAUUGAUUGGACCGUUCAUCAUGUUGAGCUUGAUUUGUUUUUUCUAGUUAUCUCAAAUAUCAUUUGGAUCACAUGGUUAUAGCAAUUGGACUAAUGGUUACAAAAUGGACCUUUUGUCAAGGGUGGGGAAACAUUCUCAAGAUUCCCAACUUCGUGAAUUGGGGAAUUUUAGAUUUUUUUUAAAUUGCUAAUUGCAUGAUUUAUGUCCUUUUACUAAUUGGCAAUUAGUGAAUUUAUCAAGUAACA